rnacentral:lncRNA from 1 species
GAUGCAUUUCCUCCAGUAUAUCCAUGAACUCGUGGGGCUGAAUGAUCAUAUGUUAUCACAGUGAUCAUGAGGCUCAAUGUAAAAAGUUCAAAUAGACUGAAACACUGUAGAUAAAGGUCAGAGGUCACGUUGAUGCCUUCAUGUUUGACCACAGAACGGUCAGUCUGUGUAACAGACUCUGUGAUCAGUGAUCAGUGCUGUGGGUCCAGGUCAGAGGACAUGUUGGAUCUCUGAUUCUUUCACGUCCAUAUUAAACAGCUGCUGCGAUGAACUGUGACUGUUAGCAGUAACUCAUUAAAUAUGUCUGCACACUGUGAGAGAGCCGUCCUCUAUCAGUGAGGCUGACAAACGCUCACACUGGGAACAGGAAGCAGAUUUCUGUCUGACUGUCCUGAUGGACUCAUUUAGGUCACUGCUGUUAUCUUUCACUCAGUGCAGCGUUUCUGAAAUGUCUUUGUAUUAUAGUGAAUUUUGAGCUUUGCAGGAUAAAAAGAAGAAGAAAUCAAAGACGUGCACACAGCAGGUAGUUGUACAGAGGACGUCAGCUGAUGGAGCAGAGGGAGGCAGACUGUGGAUGAAUGAGGAGGUGAAGGCCUGCAGGAUGUUUCCCUCAAAGAUGCUUGUAGGUGGAUCUGACUGUGGCCAAUCAACACCUGCGCCUUGCCGCCCUGAUCAGAUACCCAGCUGGGAUAAUGAGCUCGCCAAAGGAGAAGACUGAAAGCACUGACACGAGGAAGGAACGAGUCAGAGGACCAGUGAGUGUCAGCAGAACCACUGUUCAGGACGAGACCACAGACAUCAGCCACAACUGACCGUGUACUUAGUGAAUACCUCAGACAGCAGAAAGCAGAGAAAGAGGAGGAGCAAGGAGAGCAGCCAUGAUGAAAGGACAGGUAUGUACCAGCAGCAGAUAGAGGAAGUGGCUCUAUAGAUAUUUAUAGUCAGUCCUCAUGCAUAUGCUGUGCAUAUAGUAAGUGUCUGUCAUGAAGGUGUCAUAUGUGCAUAUCUGUGGUCAGUAAAGCUGAUUGUGAUUAAUAGCUACACUACAGAGAGCCCAAAGAGUUGUUGCAUUGCUUGUUAGCCUUGUUUAGGGAGGGCUGGGGUUUCUUUGGAGCCCCAAUUCAUUAAAGUUAGUUCGGCACCAAGUGAAAAGAAUCCCUGAAGACUCAGCACAGAAAGUGUGGGACAGAAGUUUGCUGUGGAGACAUGGACUGAGUUAGAAAACUAGCCAACAUGAUUUAUAACGGACAGUCAUCAUUAAUGAUGGAGAACUGAAAGGACAUGAAGGCUGCGCUGUUAGAUUUUUUGAUAGCUGGAAACUUUAACUGUCAUCAGAAAACAUAAAAUAUUCUGGAUCCUC